rnacentral:rRNA from 1 species
UACGUAGGGUGCGAGCGUUGUCCGGAAUUACUGGGCGUAAAGAGCUCGUAGGCGGUUUGUCGCGUCGUCCGUGAAAACUUGGGGCUCAACCCCAAGGCUUGCGGGCGAUACGGGCAGACUUGAGUACUGCAGGGGAGACUGGAAUUCCUGGUGUAGCGGUGAAAUGCGCAGAUAUCAGGAGGAACACCGGUGGCGAAGGCGGGUCUCUGGGCAGUAACUGACGCUGAGGAGCGAAAGCCAGGGGAGCAAACGGG